rnacentral:rRNA from 1 species
CAAUAGCGUAUAUUAAAGUUGUUGCAGUUAAAAAGCUCGUAGUUGGAUUUGUGGCGUACGGUGUGUUCCGGGCACUUGUUGUCUGAGUAACCUGCUGUUGCCAUCCUUGGGUGGAACCUGUGUGGCAUUAGGUUGUCGUGCAGGGGAUGCCCAUCAUUUACUGUGAAAAAAUUAGAGUGUUCAAAGCAGGCUUAUGCCGUUGAAUAUAUUAGCAUGGAAUAAUGAGAUAGGACUUUUUUGCUAUUUUGUUGGUUUGCGCAAGAAGGUAAUGAUUAAUAGGGACAGUUGGGGGUAUUCGUAUUCCAUUGUCAGAGGUGAAAUUCUUGGAUUUUUGGAAGACGAACCACUGCGAAAGCAUUUACCAAGGAUGUUUUCAUUAA